GUUUUUUCCCCAUUUUUUCCCCAUUGUUCCUCGAUUUUCCCUUUUUUCCCGUUUUUUCCCUUUUUUCCCAGUUUUUUCCCAUUUUUUCCCCAUUGUUCCUCGAUUUUCCCGUUUUUUCCCUUUUUUCCCUGAUUUUUCCCAUUUCCCCCGUUUUUCCCCAAUUUUACCCCGAUUUUCCCAUUAAUUUUUCCUGAUUUUUCCCCAUUUUCCCCCAGAGUUUUCCCCAUUUCCCCCCUGAGUUUCCACAGUUUUUUUCCCCGUUCUUUCCUCAUUUUUCCACCAUUUUCCCCCCAUUUUUUCCCAAUUUUCCUCCAAUUUUUUCCCCAUUUUUUCCCCGAUUUUCCCCAUGAUUUUUCCAUGUUUUUCCCCAAUUUUCCCCCGAUUUUCCCAUUAUUUUUUCCUGAUUUUUCCCCAUUUUCCCCCUGAGUUUUCCACAAUUUUUCACCCAUUCUUUCCUCAUUUUUCUGCCAUUUUUUCCCCAAUUUUUCCCCGAUUUUCCCAUUAAUUUUUCCUGAUUUUUCCCCAUUUUCCCCCUGAAUUUCCCCCAUUUUUCCGCCAUUUUCCCUGUUUUUAUCUCAUUUUUCCGCCAUUUUCCCCCCAAUUUUUCCCCGUUUUUUCCCCAUUUUUUCCCCAAUUUUUUCCCCGAUUUUUCCCCAAUUUUUCCCCGUAUUUUUCCAUGUUUUCCCCAGGAAUAAGGAGUGUCCCACCUGCAGGAAGAAGCUGCCCAUUGCCCAUUGCCCAUUUCUUCCCCAAUUUCCCCCAUUUCAACCCCAAUUUUUCCCCAUUUUUACCCAACUUUUUCUCUAUUUUUUUCCUGAUUUCCCCCCAAUUUUUCCCCGAUUUUCCCAUUAUUUUUUCCUGAUUUUCCCCCAUUUUCCCCUGUUCUUUCCUCAUUUUUUCCCCAAUUUUUCCCCGUAUUUUUCCAUGUUUUCCCCAGGAACAAGGAGUGUCCCACCUGCAGGAAGAAGCUGCCCCUUGCCCAUUGCCCAUUGCCCAUUUCUUCCCCAAUUUCCCCCAUUUUUCCCCCCAUUUUUCUGCCA
rnacentral:lncRNA from 1 species